AAGUCGUAACAAGGUUUCCGUAGGUGAACCUGCGGAAGGAUCAUUCAUAAUAAGUGUUUUAUGGCACUUUUUAAAUCCAUAUCCACCUUGUGUGCAAUGUCAGUCGAUCUUCUUCAUGGAGAUCGACCAAACAUCAACCUUUAUUUUUUAACUCUUUGUCUGAAAAAUAUUAUGAAUAAACAAUUCAAAAUACAACUUUCAACAACGGAUCUCUUGGCUCUCGCAUCGAUGAAGAACGCAGCGAAAUGCGAUACGUAAUGUGAAUUGCAGAAUUCAGUGAAUCAUCGAAUCUUUGAACGCAUAUUGCGCUCUUUGGUAUUCCGAAGAGCAUGCUUGUUUGAGUAUCAGUAAACACCUCAAAGCUUUUGGAUUUUUUAAUCGAAAAGCUUUGGACUUGAGCAAUCCCAACACCAAUCUUUUUGAGAUCGGUGGCGGGUUGCUUGAAAUGCAGGUGCAGCUGGACAUUCUCCUGAGCCAAAAGCAUAUUCAUUUAGUCCCGUCAAACGGAUUAUUACUUUUGCUGCAGCUAACAUAAAGGGAGUUUGACCGUAUUGGCUGACUGAUGCAGGAUUUCACAAGGGUCGGCAACGAUUCUUGUUAGACUCGAUCUCAAAUCAAGUAAGACUACCCGCUGAACUUAAGCAUAUCAAUAAGCGGAGGAAAAGAAACUAACAAGGAUUCCCCUAGUAACGGCGAGUGAAGCGGGAUGAGCUCAAAUUUAAAAUCUGGCUGGUUUACUAGUCCGAAUUGUAGUUUAUAGAAGCGUUUUCGGUGGCAGCCUGGGUAUAAAUCCUUUGGAAUAGGGUAUCAUAGAGGGUGAGAAUCCCGUCUUUGACUCAGUGCAUGCUACUAUGUGAUACGUUUUCAAA
rnacentral:sRNA from 1 species